GAUUAACGCUGGCGGCGUGCAUAACACAUGCAAGUCGAACGAAGUGGCGGACGGGUGAGUAACGCGUGAGUAACCUGCCUUCGAGAAGGGGAUAGCCCUUGGAAACGGAGAAUAAUACCCUAUGCUCUAAGAUGGACUUGCGUCUGAUUAGUUAGUUGGUGGGGUAACGGCCGUCCAAGUCAGCGAAGAGUAGCCGGCUUGUGAAGGGGUACAGCCAAAUUGGAACUGAUGCGCGGCCCAGACUCUACGGGAGGCAGCAGUGGAGAAAGUUACGCAAUCGGGAUAACCCAGUUGCAGCGACGCCACGUGAUUUAGACGGCCUACGGGUUGAAAAAAUCUUUUCUAGGGUAAGCAGUACCAUAGGAAUAAGGACCGGCUGAUUACGUGCCAGCAGCCGCGGUAAUAC
rnacentral:rRNA from 1 species